CACGUAGGGCGCAAGCGUUGUCCGGAAUUAUUGGGCGUAAAGAGCUCGUAGGCGGCUUGUCGCGUCGUUCGUGAAAACCUGCAGCUCAACUGCAGGCUUGCGGUCGAUACGGGCAGACUAGAGUGUGGUAGGGGAGACUGGAAUUCCUGGUGUAGCGGUGAAAUGCGCAGAUAUCAGGAGGAACACCGAUGGCGAAGGCAGGUCUCUGGGCCACUACUGACGCUGAGAAGCGAAAGACGUGGGGAGCGAACAGG
rnacentral:rRNA from 1 species